CAAUUUUCAGCGACGGAUAUCUUGGCUCGAGCACCUAUGAAGGGCGCAGCGAAGUGCGAUAAUCGUUGUGAAUUGCAGAACUCCGUGAACCAAUGGCCUCUUGAACGUGCAUUGCGCUCUUGGGAUAUGCCUGGGAGCAUGUCUGCUUCAGUG
rnacentral:rRNA from 1 species